rnacentral:rRNA from 1 species
UUGAACGCUGGCGGCAUGCCUUACACAUGCCAGUCGAACGGCAGCACGGGUGCUUGCACCUGGUGGCGAGUGGCGAACGGGUGAGUAAUACAUCGGAACAUGUCCUGUAGUGGGGGAUAGCCCGGCGAAAGCCGGAUUAAUACCGCAUACGAUCUACGGAUGAAAGCGGGGGACCUUCGGGCCUCGCGCUAUAGGGUUGGCCGAUGGCUGAUUAGCUAGUUGGUGGGGUAAAGGCCUACCAAGGCGACGAUCAGUAGCUGGUCUGAGAGGACGACCAGCCACACUGGGACUGAGACACGGCCCAGACUCCUACGGGAGGCAGCAGUGGGGAAUUUUGGACAAUGGGCGAAAGCCUGAUCCAGCAAUGCCGCGUGUGUGAAGAAGGCCUUCGGGUUGUAAAGCACUUUUGUCCGGAAAGAAAUCCUUGGCUCUAAUACAGUCGGGGGAUGACGGUACCGGAAGAAUAAGCACCGGCUAACUACGUG